rnacentral:rRNA from 1 species
ACGCACGCUGGCGGCGUGCUUAACCCAUGCAAGUCGAACGAUGACGACCGAGCUUGCUCGGUCUGAUUAGUGGCGAACGGGUGAGUAACACGUGAGCAACCUGCCCUUCACUCUGGGAUAACCUCGGGAAAUCGGGGCUAAUACCGGAUAUGAGCUCCUGUCGCAUGGCGGGUGUUGGAAAGUUUUUCGGUGAAGGAUGGGCUCGCGGCCUAUCAGUUUGUUGGUGAGGUAGUGGCUCACCAAGGCGAUGACGGGUAGCCGGCCUGAGAGGGCGACCGGCCACACUGGGACUGAGACACGGCCCAGACUCCUACGGGAGGCAGCAGUGGGGAAUAUUGCACAAUGGGCGAAAGCCUGAUGCAGCGACGCCGCGUGAGGGAUGACGGCCUUCGGGUUGUAAACCUCUUUCAGCAGGGAAGAAGCGAAAGUGACGGUACCUGCAGAAGAAGCGCCGGCUAACUACGUG